rnacentral:rRNA from 1 species
UUCUGGAAGUAUCUAGGGGUUAGUGGAAUUUCCGGUGGAGCGGUGAAAUGCGUUGAUAUCGGAAGGAACGCCGAAAGCGAAAGCAGCUAACUAUAGAAUACUUGACGAUGAGGGACGACAGUUUGGGGAGCAAACAGGAUUAGAUACCCUGGUAGUCCAAACCGUAAAUUAUGCUUGCUAGAUGUUUUUAUCAAUUUAUUGGUAGGAGUGUCGUAAUCUAACGAGUUAAGCAAGCCGCCUGGGUAGUAUAUUCGCAAGAAUGAAACUCAAAGGGAUAGGCGGGGGAACACACAAGCAGUGGAUUAUCUAGAUUAAUUGGAUACUAAGCCAAGAAUCUUACCUAGGAUUGACAUGUAUUGUGUCUGCGGUGAAAGUCGCAUAUCCGUAGCAAUACGGAGCUUUACACAGGUGGUGCAUGGUCGUCGUCAGCUCGUGCCGCAAGGUGUCUAGUUAAGUCUGGAAACGAGCGCAACCCUCGUGUUUAGUUAGUAUGUCUAAACAGACUGCUCGGGUAACCGAGAGGAAGGAGAGGAUGACGUCAGAUCCUCAUGCCCCUUACACCUAGGGCCUCAUAGAUAAUACAAUGGGUAGGUACAGCGAGAAGCGAUACCGCGAGGUGGAGCAAAUCUUUAAAACUACCCCUAGUUCGGAUUGUAGUCUGGAACUCGACUACAUGAAGUUGGAAUUGCUAGUAAUGGCAGAUCAGCCAUGCUGCCGUGAAUACGUCCCUGUUCCUUGCACUCACCGCCCGUCAAACCAUGGGAGCUGAGGCUCUUUGAAGACUCAUUAUAUGGGUUAAGGAGGGAAUCAGUGACUGGGGUUAAGUCGUAACAAGGCAUCCCUACCGGAAGGUGGGGAUA